UACGGAGGGUGCAAGCGUUGUUCGGAAUUACUGGGCGUAAAGCGCGUGUAGGCGGUCUCGUAAGUCGGAUGUGAAAGCCCUCGGCUCAACCGGGGAAGUGCAUCCGAUACUGUGAGACUUGAGUGCCGGAGAGGGAAGGGGAAUUCCCGGUGUAGAGGUGAAAUUCGUAGAUAUCGGGAGGAACACCCGCGGCGAAGGCGCCUUCCUGGACGAGCACUGACGCUGAGACGCGAAAGCGUGGGGAGCAAACAGG
rnacentral:misc_RNA from 1 species